GGGCCAUUUUUGGUAAGCAGAACUGGCGAU
rnacentral:snRNA from 1 species